AGAGUUUGAUCCUGGCUCAGAACGAACGCUGGCGGCGUGCUUAACACAUGCAAGUCGUACGAGAAACCGGAACUUCGGUUCCGGGAGUAAAGUGGCGCACGGGUGAGUAACGCGUAGGUAAUCUACCCUUGGGUUUGGAAUAACUCGCCGAAAGGCGUGCUAAUACCGGAUAAAAUCUUUCGGAGGGAUCUGGAAGAUCAAAGGUGGCCUCUCCAUGGAUGCUACUGCCUGAGGAUGAGCCUGCGUCCCAUUAGCUUGUUGGUAGGGUAAUGGCCUACCAAGGCUACGAUGGGUAGCUGGUCUGAGAGGAUGAUCAGUCACACUGGAACUGGAACACGGUCCAGACUCCUACGGGAGGCAGCAGUGAGGAAUAUUGCGCAAUGGGGGAAACCCUGACGCAGCGACGCCGCGUGGGCGAAGAAGGCCUUCGGGUCGUAAAGCCCUGUCUAGAGGGAAGAAAUUCUCAAUGGAAUAAUACCCAUUGAGAUUGACGGUACCUCUGGAGGAAGCACCGGCUAACUCCGUGCCAGCAGCCGCGGUAAUACGGAGGGUGCUAGCGUUGUUCGGAAUUACUGGGCGUAAAGCGGGUGUAGGCGGUUUGUUAAGUCAGAUGUGAAAGCCCACGGCUCAACCGUGGAAGUGCAUCUGAAACUGGCAGACUUGAGUACCGGAGAGGGAAGUGGAAUUCCUGGUGUA
rnacentral:rRNA from 1 species